rnacentral:SRP_RNA from 1 species
GCUGGGCGUGGUGGCACAUGCCAGUAAUCCCUGACCCUGGGGGAGGCUGAGUUUGGGAGCUCUGAGCUUGCAUAAGGCUAAAAGCUGGUCAGGUGUCUGCACUAGGUCCAACAUCAAUUUGGUGAUUCCUUGGGAGCAGAGGCCCUCCAAGCUGCACAAGAAAAGGUGAACUCACCCGGGUUGGAAAUGGAGUAAGUCAAAAUUUCUGUGUUGAUCAGCAGUAAGAUUGUGCCUUUAAUGGCCUCUGCAUUUUCAGCCUGGUUGAGAU